rnacentral:rRNA from 1 species
UGAGAGGACGAUCAGCCACACUGGGACUGAGACACGGCCCAGACUCCUACGGGAGGCAGCAGUGGGGAAUCUUGCGCAAUGGGCGAAAGCCUGACGCAGCGACGCCGCGUGAGGGAAGAAGGCCUUCGGGUUGUAAACCUCUUUCAGGAGGGACGAAGCUACUCGGGUUAAUACCCCAGAGGGUGACGGUACCUCCAGAAGAAGCCCCGGCUAACUACGUGCCAGCAGCCGCGGUAAUACGUAGGGGGCAAGCGUUGUCCGGAAUUAUUGGGCGUAAAGAGCGUGUAGGCGGCCAGAUAAGUCCGCUGUGAAAUCUCGAGGCUCAACUUCGAGCUGUCGGUGGAAACUAUCUGGCUAGAGUCCGGAAGAGGAGAAUGGAAUUCCUGGUGUAGCGGUGAAAUGCGCAGAUAUCAGGAAGAACACCCGUGGCGAAGGCGGUUCUCUGGGACGGUACUGACGCUGAGACGCGAAAGCGUGGGGAGCGAACAGGAUUAGAUACCCUGGUAGUCCACGCCGUAAACGAUGGGUGCUAGGUGUGGGCGGUGUCGACUCCGUCCGUGCCGAAGCUAACGCAUUAAGCACCCCGCCUGGGGAGUACGGCCGCAAGGCUAAAACUCAAAGGAAUUGACG